CUUCCUUUUAAAUUCUACCUUCCCAUCUCAAGCUUAUCACUAAUCUUCUCUUUGCAGCUCACAACCAAAGAAUGCAGGAUCCCAAGUAUGCAUAUCCUUAUCCUGCUCAAGGAUACUACCAUGGGCCUCCUGUGAUGGCACCACCUCAAUAUGCUGCUGCACCACCCAGGAGGAGCAGUGGCUUCUUGGAAGGAUGCCUUGCUGCUCUUUGCUGCUGCUUUCUUAUUGAUGAGUGUUGCUGUGAUCCAUCCAUCCUAUUUAUCUGCUGAUAUCACUGCUCAAUCUUGAAGUAUUUGCUGCCUUUAAACACACUUGAAGUUUCUGCUGUGAAGCUGUAAUCAAGCUUGAAAGUGUUUCAGCAUCUUUAUUUAGAGAAACUCCAUAAAAUUAUGUUCUAUUGUGGUUAGUAGUGAUAGUCCCAACAACAUUAAUAA